rnacentral:lncRNA from 1 species
GUUUUUCACUUCUGUUGUUUUCUGGGGCUGGCACUAAAAAUGUUCCCCUUUUUCAAUUUGUCAACUGCACUGACAAAUUACCCUUUGGCAAGGAAUACAGCGCAGUAAUCUUGGAGCAUAACUUUUGUGUCAGUCUGGCUUCCUUUAUUUCUGCCAAGGGUAUUGCUCAGAAACUGGGAGAUAUGGCUAUGUAUUUUGUAAAUACACUAAUAAGAAUGUUGAUCUUUGCAUAGAAAAAGUGUUUUCAAAUAAAUGCCAUUAUCAGGCGAAGGAAUAGUUAAAGUCCAGAGGAAAUGUGACUACACAUUUGCCUGAUUUGGGGCUGCUGAAAUAUUAUCUCAUAUAGGUUGGGACUAUAAAGGUGUUAGGUUUUUUGAAAAGGCUGCCAGUGGCUCCAACAGGCUCUUGAAAAGCCAAGGAUUAGUCAGAUGGAGGAAUGUCUUGGCCAAAAAUCUCCUUUCUCUGGCUAAGCCCACUCCCUUGGCAGCGCUGUAUUGUAUUCUUAUAAAAGCUGCUGGGGAAGCUUGAGGUCAGUGCAAGAUUUCUUUAUGACUAUUGGAUCCUCCUGGGACCACUUGAAGUGGAUUUAGAGCUCCUUUUUACUCGGAAAUGUAAUGGUGAAUAAGGGCCAUUUCUGGGACAUUUUGUUUGUUUUAUGAACCUGCUGCUUCAGAUUCCCCUUUUGUUUAUCCAAUCAGUACAAAUGACUUCUUGACAAGGUUCCCAAUUCCUGACAAGCUAGGUGGUUUUGUCUGUCAGGCACUGUAGCAAAGGACUGAUGGCUCCAAACAAUAGACAUGUUGUUCCCAUCUGAAGAUGUCAAGUGCAAGCGCCUUUCAGCUGUGAUUACUGGCAUGCGUCUUUGGUUCCAUCUGAGAUCUCUUAAUCUUUCCUAUGUUAGGAGGACAGCUCACAACAAAGCAUUACCUAGCAACAAAAAUACCUCAGGUCGGUUCAGGGAAAGCAACAGAAGAGUUGUUAUUAAUCAUGCUGGGAUGAUGCAUUGUGGUUUAAAAAAUUGGAAAGGAAAGGCCAGAUUAAAUAUUGACAUUUACUAUAUUCCAACUGUGUUAGCUUUCACUCUGGCUGACAUGAAAACAUAUAUUCAGUGAAAAUGGGAAAUAAAAACCCUUGUAUGUGUUUUACUGAAUGUCUCAAAGUAAAUGUGUUGUUUUUUAUUUAAAUAUGAUCAGUUAUGUGGGGAUGGUGCAGAUGAUAGAGUCUUCUGAAUAUGAAAGGCUGAUGGAACUUCAGUGCUCGUCCUUAGACCUAAUGGUCUUGGAUGUCAAAAUGAAAGGGAAAACUGCUGGCUUCGAUGGAAAACACUUUAUUAUAAAUGAGAACUUUAAUGAGCUCACUGUGUUUACAAAGAUAAAAACAAAACAAAAAGAAGUUUAAUAAACAAAUAUCACCGUAGUGAAGGACCUGAGACUUACCAGCAGCCUGCAAUGUUCUAUAUUUAAAAAGCAAAUUUUGGUGCAUUUCCAGCAGUUGAAAGCCUAGAAGCAUUAUGAAUUAGUUUUAGCCAUCUCUGCUCAAUGGCUAUAACUUCACGAGGCUAAGUUUAACCAGAAUAUAACAGAUAUUAAUGGUCUUGGUGUCAUAAGCUGAGUUGCACCUCAGAUUAUAAGGAAGGGACAGUAUUAUGGUUACAGAGAAAGAUAAAUAGUCUGUAACUGUGCAGGAAAGAAAUGUGGUCAGAAAUGAGGAAGGAACUGCUGCUUGCUGAGGCGUUUUAAUGUUAAAAUAUACAGUUCUGGAAAGGUUAGUGAACUUUCCACUCUGCUCUUAUAUGUGGAAGUGAGAACUUAGGGCCCAACUUUGUGCCGUGAAGUGGGUAGUGUGAGGAAGCAAAGUCGUGAACGGGCAUAGGUGGGUGGUUGAAAUCCCGACUCAUUUUUUCUUCAUAUGAUGUUCUUUCAGCUGAAGUGGUGCCAAGUAAGUCUGUCCUGUUGUGCUGAAGCUGUUUUCCUGGUGGUGGCUCUUCAUGGCAGCCGUCUCUUGCUGCCUACACUGCCUGCCCAUUGCACUCAUGAGUGAAGGUGAAGGCACGGUUCUGUGGAAGGAAUAGUUGGAGAAAGGGCUAAAACGAUCCAGUAUUGUUUUCUAUAACAUCUUUUUAAUUAAUUGGUUAGCCUUAGAUUAGUUGAUCAGUGCAAGGAAAAGGAAUUCAGGGUGUUACUGCCAAAAGUCCUUUGCAAACCAGAGCUCCCUGUUGAAAAAGGGAAUAUUACGUGGGUUUUUUUAUUGGCUUCAGUAAACAAAUGCCUUGUAUUCAUCAGCUUAAGAAAUGACUUUAGGCUUGCUGCUUACAGUGAGUUAACUUGUUUAUCGCCCGGAGAGAGCUUGGGUUUUGCAGCCUAUGUGUGCAAACUGCACGACUUUUAGGAGAAAAAAAGAGAAAAAUUAUUCCCUGGAGAACUGAGAUUGCUGAGGGAUGAUGUAGAGUAGUGUAAAGUUUUGAAGCGAUACAUACAGUGUUCUUGUCAAGUUUUUAUAAAGCCGUUGCUGUAUCCUUCUAAGUAGUUGAAAAAUGUCUUUCCUCCAGUAAUAGCCAUAGUUUCUAGGUAAUGGGUUGUCAGAAAUGCUGUUGGUUCAUAAAGAUUAGCUAUGUGAAAAUGUUCGCAAUGCUUUUUCUUGUCUGCUACCCAGAGGGUACAAGAGAAGGACAGAGAGGAGGAGCUGGAAGCACACGGUGAGGUGGCAAUCAAGGCAUUUUCCAUAAGAAGUCCUGGAGUCUGAAGGAUGAAGCAAUGCAAAUAAGGUUUUUCAAAGUCAGCAUUUUGCUUAAUUUAGUAUUGUCAUGGAGAAAUCAGCUGACUAUUUUGUCAUCAAGGGUAUGUGGCUGUAGAUCAGAAGCUAAAGGUAUUUAAGAAGGUUGGAAAAUUAGUUUGCUUGCUUCCACAAAACCUCAGCAUUAAACAAUAUUAGGUAAUGUCUUGUCUUUGGUAUUUGAAAUUGCCACAAAGGCAACCAGCAGACUAAGAAGCAAUUUGAAUGUUGAACUAUUCGUGCUAACAUAGAUGGGGAAGGAAUGCUGUCUUUUUGCUCUGAAAAGCAGCAGGUCAACAUCAAUGCAGGUUUUCUCAUGGAUCUCCUGACUGUCUGGCCUAUAGCUGCUGGUGCAAAGAUAGUAGAGAUGAGUGAGAAGCUGUGCUGUCCAGGAGUUAAGGCCAUAACGCAGGUGCUCCUUGUAAGGCAGGUGCGAUGUGAGCUUGCUUAGAAACAAACCUUAGAGCUUACUAAAUUGUGUCACAAGUUUAUAUCAAACUGAAAUAAUUUGUGACGGAAGUAUCCGAGGGGAGAAUUUUAUAGGUUGUCAAAAGUUCAAUUGAGAACUUGACUUAAAUAUUUAAAUUUCAGUUAGCUUAUACGAAACGUGUUAAAGGAAGUUUAAGUAUUAAAUAGGGGGAAGAAAGGCUUUGUUAUUCACUUAAUCCCUAUCCUCAAGUCUAAUUUCUGCUUGAGUUGAAGGGAAUCGAAUAUUGCUUUUAGUCCUGUGGUUAUGAUAUACUGUUAGGACAUGGCAAAUAAGAAAAACUUCAAUUACACAAAAGCUUUUUUUUCUCUCAGGAAAAGAUCCAUCAGCCAUGUUUUCAGUGCCUGGAAAACAGGAAAGCCAUGUUACUGAAUCUUUUAUUUCCUCCUUUCAUCUUCCUUCUGCACUGCCAUUAUAGCUGGCUGGGGGACGAAGGAGUUUUGGCAGAGAGCAGGAUGAAGAGCACUUGUCACCACUUGAGAGGGUUGGGGAGAAUUUCUUCAGCAUAGUGGAGGGAAAAGUGAGAAGUUCACAUCAGCCUAAAGAUGUGUGUGAGAUUUGCCGAGUGACCUUUGUGUGCCCGCUGCAAAAAUCCUCUUGAUUUUUUUUCUUUUUUCUUUUUUUUUCUUUUUUUUUUUUUUUUAAUAAAUUCUCUGUGUGCCCUCAUUGUAUCCACCAGACCUCCCACUCCAGUUAUCAAACCCUUUGCUUGUUGGCGACGGGUUGGCCUGAUCCCCCGUCUUCAGCUUCUGGGCACUGCUGUGAGUUCCUGUCUAGAGGCAGGGAAAGACCUUUUUCCCCCCACACAGACAGUGUUUUUUGCCUCAUCUCAUUGUCACAACUACUUCAAAAACUGCAGCUUUCCUGCUCCCGCUGCCAAGGCUUACACCCACAGUAUGCCACAUAUUUCAUGUCACAGAGAAUUUGGCAUACCCAACAGUCUGCCCUGCUCUCUUGUCUCUGCUUGGCAGGACACCCUGAGGGCAGUGCUUUGGCUCAGACUUGGCCUGGUUCAGAGCAGGAUGUUAACUCUGCAGACGUAGUUCAUGGCUAGGAUGCUGAUGUUUCCAUCUCUAAAAGCUGCUAAAAAAUAAAAUCCGAAAGACUCCAACGUGUUCUUCUUUAUAAACUUGUCAGCAUAGUUCUGAAGAAUUGUUGGAAGAACCUGGGUGCCCUUGGGAAGGCUCAGUGUCACAAUCACCGUUUCUUUUUAUCUUGUCAUUGGACUUUGUCUCCAGGGUACAAACUGAAUGUGGCUGAGGCUCUGCUAAGAAUCUCUUGAGGGACAUUUCAUACCGAAGGAGAGAAUGAGCAAGUCAAGGGCAUAAGACAGAGGUAUCGCUGACCUCGAGGGGUAGUGGCACUCAAAAGCAGCUGUCCGUGAUUCCUGUGUAUUGGUGACAUCAUGACUUAAAACUGGAAUUGCUAAAAAUAAUUUCUAGUGAAGCAUUUUAAAGGGAAAUUGUCCUUUGUAAAAUAUGUGAACUUGACAGACCUGGAGUUGAGCUCCCGUUUUGGUUUGCUUUUGGCAGAGAACGGAAGCAUGCGAAGAAGUGUGUUAGCACUUCAGUAUACAGUGCAAUCUGGUAAUGUCCAAUACUUGGAUGCCAUUGCUGUUUUGCAGCAGGCGUAUCCAGCCUUCCUCUAAACAGACACAUUUUUCUGUACAAAAUAUUGAAAAAUCUCUUUAAUGUGUCAUCUGUCAAAUCCAUGCUGGUCUUUUUUUGCCAGGGCAUGGCCUCAGCUGAAUAUGUAAUAUGUGAACAGAUUCCUAUCGGGAAAUGUGGUGUGUGGAGCACAUCCAUUACCUAUGCCUUGUCAGCCUGUGUUACUGAAUCUUGCUGGGCAGAGACUCUCAUUUCUUGAUCGCAGGAACGUUAAGGCCAUGGAUUUCAUUUUAGCUAUGCUUUUCUUCAUUGUGAGGGGAGACUUUUUUUUUCCUUUCAAGUUGGAUUUCUGUGCCUGUCCAUCCCUAAAUCAGAAAAUGGGCUUCUUUCUUCAUGCUCUGGCGUGUAGUCAGCCUGUGAAUAGUCACUGCGUUCUUGCCAAACAGAGUCAUGUUUGUUUCUAGUUCUGACAAAGGUCUCUGCUUCGUUUUCCAUCUCAGGUUUGUCAGAUACUGCUGCUGUCUGGGGCAUGUGAGAGGGAAUAAAGCACACCUCGUUUUGAAUGGACCAUUUACAUAAGUUUACUCAGCUUCAGUUAUCCUUGCUGUUUGCCAUAAAGAGAUGUCUGAAAGAAACUGUGACAUUUUCUGCCUCUCCUCUUCAUGUAGAUCUUAAGUCUUUCUGCUCAUAAAAUGUUCCUUUCAUGUUUUUGAAUCACUGGUAGUGAUUACAAAUUUGUAAUGUAAUUGAGAUGCCUGAGCAGAAACUACAAAGAACUUGAUUGAACUACGUGAAUAUAAUAAAAGUGGGUAUGACUGUAUGUCUGCCCAGAAUUGGUUGAACCCCAAGGUAGCUAGUACACUACUUUCAUGUGGUAGGCUAUGUCCUUUGGUUGUUAAAUCUGGUGUAGGAGGUGGUUAUGGUGGAACCAAAUGGAACAGUGUAGUUUAAAAAUACAAUAUGUCUUGAAGCACGGAGGACAAAAAUGAGGAUUUGGUGUGCUGUCCUAAGUAUGCGUAUCAAAAGUGGUACCAGAUUUUAAACUAAAGUGCUCAUCUAUAUUCUGGUAUCAAAGGGAAAAGAAUGAAUGGAAACAUAUCCUUAUCCUCUUUGAUGCUGUGUGAUUUAAAAUAUGUGCUGACAUUCAAGAGAUGAAAGGUGAGACAAGGAAGAAAGUUGUUUUCAUGCAAGAGAUUUGCUACCAGUUUGCAAAGAAUUUGUUCAGUCCUUAUACAGCAAAGAUUGUUUGAAACUUUUGAGCAGAAGAAUGUGACCACGAUUGAUUUUACCUAACAUUCACACAAUCGUGCACAGACAUAGAAUAUACAGAGAUAUUUGAAAUAUGAAAUGCAAGCAUUUCCGUGUUGGACUUGAGCUGGAGACUUGCAAACUGGUUCAAACCCAGGAACCAGGGAAUGGUACGAGCUUGUCCCACAGCUGGGGCUGACAGACCUGUGGGAAGGGAGGGAUGCUUGGCCUGAGCUCGCUGCUGCCACAGUGCCUGCAGAUGGAGUGUGGUAGCAUCCAGAGUGUGGUCAUACCUGUUGGUGCUGACAAAGCUGUGGAUUUAAAGAAAUCAAUAUGGAUAGUAUUUAAGUGGUUGGAAUCUGCUCUUCUGGAGAGACCUGAUGAAAAAAUGAGAAAAAUGCCCAUUUAUAUUUGAGGCUUUUUUAAUUAAAAAGGCAGCAUUGAGCCUUUGAGUAUUGUUUACUUGCCAAAACAAAGUCUUUGCCCUUGUCUCUGUUUCUAGCCAAAUAUGAGCCUGCAAGCCCUGUUGGGUCCUCGGGAUAUUUUCAAGUAGAUGGUAGAGCUCAAAAGCAGAUUAUCCAGAAUCUGACAAUGUGGUACAUCAGGAAAAGUUUGGGACAUUUUUUUUCAAAGCACCGUUUGUUUUUGGUCUGAUGGAGAAGUAAUGGUGAGUAAGGCCAAAAACAAGUCACUCUGGAGAAAUUACUGUCUGCAAACCAGCCACAAGAGGGACCACAAAUGUCCUUCUUUGUCACAAAACCUGCCCAGCUCUCUGCCUCUUUUGGAACCACCAUGUUGCACAGAAUUCAACUGGGUUGUUCCUGAAGGGUUCUUCUGUUGCUCUCCCACAGGCUCAUGUACUCCUGUUUAAAUAUCAAUUAAGUUUUAGAGCUCUGGCUGUGUUGGGGAGGCUGCAGGAUGGGUAAACAGACAUAAACUUCUUGUGUUUCUGCUUUGACUUUUUGAGAUCUUUUCUACUUGUGAGGAGAGCAAAAAGGGUGAAAAGGUCGCAUUUGUUUAGCAGUGUUUUGUGAGAAGCUGCUUGGGACACUUUGUUCAUAUUUUUGACAAUUUGCUGGAAAACAUGGCUGUAUUAAUCUGCAGGUAAAACAGUGCAUGCCCAAGAAAGAAUUGUGGAUGACCACAGUAUUGCAGUACUGAAUAUAAGGUGUUUUUUUUUGUGGUACAGUAAGGAGGGACAGAAUAUGCUCUGAGUGGACAAGGGUAUCUAGUACCGCAGAACGGAGGUAGAGAGUACAAGUAUCUGUUCCUUCACAAGGGAUGGAAAGACAAAAUGGCACUGAUGCUGAGGAUGAGGAAGGCUCUGAAGCGGGAAUGCAAUACUAUAGCUCUGAGGUGGGAAGUGCAGGCAGCCUUACCUGGAUCCCUGUGCCGUCCGCAUCCUCAAAGUUAGCAGGUAAACUCAUGCAUAUUUAUAGCGAUAGAAAUAAUAACAAUAAUGAAAAUUGGUAGCAAAAUCAAAUUAAUGUGGUCUCCUGCAGCAGAAAUAUUUACCCGAUGUGUCCUGCCAGUUACAGAGAUUGGCAUUAAACCUAGACAUUACCUCAUCUUCCUGGGCAGACAGCCUAUUUCUAUGCUAAGCAAGUCUGCAGGAGUGAACAACUGAAUACCUGCCUGAUUAGCUGUGCAGCAGCAGAUCCUGGUUAGAAGCGAUUUCCCUCAGCGCUUUCUCUCUUUUGCUUGCCCGCUCGCUCUCUGCGAGGUUUGUCACUAUGCAUUAUCAAACUCUGUUUUUCAUCUUGAAGGACACGUUGCAGGGAAGAUCUGCCAGACAGGUGGGCUAGUGUAAAUGCUGAACCAAAUCAGAAAGGUCAGGAGAACAGAAGGAAAAAAGUAAAGUGUGUAUAUAUGUGUGUGUAUCUCCCUCUCUGUCUCUGCGUGUGUCAGUGCCAGCUAGGUGAAACUGUAUUAAUGAGGAAGGGAGAGAUAAGUGCUAAGAGGAUUGUGCUGCAAAAGGAGAUUUUGGUUUUUGAGGAUAGAUGAGGGGUUCUUUAUGAAAACUUUAAUUGGCUACCUUAGAUCAUUUCUUUAGCUUUGUUCCUAGGUGGCAAAUCAGAAGUUUCCUGCUGGGCAUAAAAUCACAGCAUAAUUAUGAUUGUUGGCCUGUGCAGAGUGUCUUCGAUCACAGACUCCCAGCAUGCUGUGUAUUCCUUAAAAAAAAAAAAAAAAAAAUUAAGUCUUGUAAUGUAUUUCAGACAAGCAGUCUGACAAGUAGUAAUAAAAAUAGUAAUAAUAAAAAAAGCCCUUCAAAAUGGAAGAAAAAAUACAAAUCCCCGACAACAACAGUUGAUUUUGCCGCAGUAUCUUUCAAAGUGUCAUACUAUCCACCUGUCUAGCUACUGCUUCUCUUUUUUCCAUAGCAAGGUUCAAGUAGUCCAGGAUAUAGUGUCACUGUUACUCAUUUGUUUAAGUCCUUACAGUGGUAUCAUUGUGUAUUCAAGAGCUGCAGAUGUCCACUGCAGCAGAUAGAUCAACCCUCUGCCUUUGCGUUGGAGCACUAGUAUGUUCCUGCGUACAAAUCUGUUUCCAUUCCAUACCUACAUGAAGGUGGCCUCCUCUGCAUUUAGUUCCAUGGCUUACUUUAUGAGGAAGACAUGGAGAAUAGUCACAGGGAAAUUAAGCCUUUUGCUCUUCUCUUUUGGCGUUCAGAAAUCUGAAGUCAUUCUGCACAAAGGUAGUAAUUACACAAUAGUUUCCUUGUCCAUUUUGAUCAGUAGAUGUAUUUCUAAAUUGCAGUUGGCUCAACUGUUAAGAAUGGUAUGGAAAUACCUCAUGGAGAAAAGGCCUUAAUUGAUUGGCGUAUUCCACCAUCUGGCUGCCAAAACACACAUCUCUUCUGCUGGACCCACCCUGCCAGGUGGCCAUGCUCUGCAAGUAACUUUUCCUCCUUCCCCCUGUUAAUAGUCCUCAUUCUGAGAAAGCAUACUUCUGAAAUGUUCAUCACUCGCCUGGAAAUGGGAUGGGAGACUGGGAGUGUCAAGUCCUGCUCUGGUAGACCUGCAUAAUGGCUGAGUUAUUUUCCAGGAGGGAAAUUUUCUGCUCCUAAACGGUACCAUGUCGCUGUCUACUGAGUGACUUCAGGGAGGAAGUCCUUAGAAAAAAAACACACUUUAUCUUCUACUGAUAUUGGUAAAGACACUGGAAAAACACAGAAGUAGGCACAGGUUCUCCAUUCUGAAAUAAGUAGAGUUGAACAUUUUAAUUUGUAAGGCUAUGAAUUUGGCUAGGUGACAGUCAAUAUUUUUGUUAGAAAUAUUAAAGAUAGCCUCUAAAGAGGUAGGGAGCCCGAUGCUCAACCUUACCGAUGAGGAUUUUAUCAGUGUUUUUGUUAAGUUUGUCAAUCUUAACAGCAAGGCAGACACCAUUUUUUGGUACAAGUUCUUUUAUUUCAUCUCCACAAAGAUGAGCAAGUCCAUGCAAUGCUUCCUGCAUUGGAGGCUUCUUACAGGGAGGUGCUGUGCUCUCAAACUGUAGAGAGAGUAGUAUGAAAGAAAUGCCAUUGGCAAAGAGGGAAGCAUAAUCCUCAUGUUUGUCGAGAGAAAAGUAGGAACUUAUGGCUCCUCUGAGCAGAGAUAGGAAAAGAUGCUUGCUUGCUUUUGGUAAACUGCAUCAAAAUACUAUAUUUUGUCAAACUAUCCAAGGGAGGUGUUUGAGCUAAUUGUUUUAUUUUCCUCAGCAACAAAAAAGAUGAUUGAAUUCUACAUAGUUUCUGUAUUUCUAACACUUCACAGUCAAAAAGGGCAAUUUCCUGUUGCUGGUGAUUCAGCCCAGUUUGACGUAUGCAGGAGACCUUUCAGGAGUGUUGCUGAAGUAGUAGAAGGUCUGUGAAAUCAGAUCAUUCUUUUUUUAAAGGACAAGUAGACUGUUGACAUAUUUCUGUAUAUUAAGUUGUAGUUAAAUUAUAAAAGUCUGCGUGCUUCUUGAUUUGUGAAUUUAAUCUUUUGUAGCUUCUGGGCCAACUAGCAUGGCAGAAGAUGGAGCUCCUAAGUUAUCAAGGUAUACAAGCAUUAACUUGCCAGACAGGAGAGGUGCUAGUACUCCAAACAAGGGUUUGAAGGAGUCAUCUCCAUACCCCUGGUGCCUUCAGGCAGGAAUGACUAACAGAAGAAGGAAAAAGUAGUUCAUUUCUGAAAUAUGAUGGCAUUUUCCAUUCUGUCAUUUGUAGAUUGAAAGAAUGGACACUGGGUUGUGACACCGUUCUCUUAAAUUUUCUCAAGGGAGAAUAGAAACAGAAUGUAGUCUUCAUGUUUUUUUCUCAAUAUUAUCUCACUUAAGGCAAAAGCAAGAACAUUAUUGCUUAAGAUGUGAGAGAAAAUAUGUUGUUGUUUCAGUAGUCACAUUCACUGCCAGUGUAACCUGUACUGCUUUUUGGCCAGUGACCAUGCAAAAGUGAUCAGCUUUUUUUUCUUUCUUUUUUGGUAUGUUCCCUCUAACAUUUUCUUUUUAAAUCCCUUUGCUUAGACCAAUAAAUAAAUAAAAUAAAAAAAAUCUGUCACCUGUUGGUUAUAGCACUCUUCUUUGGCAAGCGUUUUCUCUUCUAUUCCAGAAAAGGAAGUAUCUAGAAGUUGUCCUGUGGCUUAUCUUUUGUUUUAGCAAUUUGCAUCUUCAUCUAAAUUGGAAAUAUAGCAGGUUCCUAACAGGGAGGUGUGGUAGAUUCCAGAGAGGUUAUCUUAUCAGCAAUCUCUGCCUGCGUGAACACGACAAAACAGUGCUGGCACUGUUCACCUGGUGGCAAAAGAAGUUACUUCUUAAUGUAUAUGAAAUGGGUUAAUGGCCUUGAACUCCUGGAUCCAUUGAAUGAAUGUAAUCUUUGCAUUAAGCGUAUGUAUCUUUUCAAAUGAUGAUUUUAAACUCCUAAGCCUCCACCCAUGCCCUUAAUCGUGAGCCCUACAUUUUCUUGACUUUGUUUUUUUCUUUUAUUUUACCACUUCCUUACAAAUGCUAUGAUCUUAUUCCAUAAUGAUUUUUACCUUAGGAUACGAUACCAUUAAAAAGAAACAGCUAUCCUGUUUUACUUACAUAAACAAGUAAAGUGCAGAUCAGUCAAUAAAAAAUAAACAGCAGCGCUUGCUUUCUUCUGUUGUUUUAAUAGUGGUGCCAUUAACAGUUGUCAAAUGGCUAGGCAGCAUAACUUCAAUUUUAGCUUCCUAUUGUCAUCUACCUAUCAGCAAUUAAGACCAUAUACUACUUUGGAUAUUAGUAAUCUGAUUUUGCCAGCUCCAUAUUGUCUUAGAGAUGCAAUUGCAACUCCAUAUAGCCUCUUGGUCCAUUACAUUAGGACAUCAAACUGAAGUGUUUCCUAUAGGUCUUUUUUAAGUAAGAGUAUUUUUGCCUGUUGUUGAGGAGCAUGAAUUUAAAUGAGCCAGCAGUGUACCCAGGUGGCCAAGAAGGCCAGUGACAUCCUGAGCUGCAUUAGAAGUAGUGUGACCAGCAGGACUAGAGGAGGGAUUGUCCCUUGUAUGCAAGGGAUGAGGCUGCACCUCAGAUACUCUGUUCAGCUCUGGGCCUCUCGUUACAAGAAGGGCAUUGAGUUGCUGAAGCGUGUGCAAAGAAGAGCAACAAAGCUGGAGAAGGGACAAGAAAACAAGACGUUUCAGGAGUGACAGAGGGAGCUGGGGCUGUUUAGUUUGGAGAAAAGGAGGUUGUUUACAGCUACCUGAAGGGAUGUUGCAGCGAGGAGGAUUUUGGUCUCUUUUCUCAGUUCAGAAGUGAUGGGGUGUUGGGAAAUAGUCUCAAGCUGUGCCAGAUUGGACAUUAGGAAGAAUUUAUUUAUGGAAAGGGUGGCCGGGCAUUGGAAUGGGCUGCCCUGGGAGGUGGUGGAGUCCUCAGCCCUGGAGGAAUGUCAGAGAUGUGUUGGUAUCUUAGAGUUGCGUGCUCUCCAGCAGCAAAGUAGUGUGUGUAAUAGCCAUGUAAGACUGCCCGCAUGCUUCAGCAAAGCACUUCAGCAAGUUAAAGUUGCUGCUCCCUGUAAAAGCUGGAAGGAGCUCUCCCUUCCAUAUCCAUUUACUUCUUGCCUUUGUAAGUCAGCCAGAAAAGAAACUUGCCAAAUUGCAUCAGUUAUCACUGGCCAUGUUGUGCUUGCUGUUUCUCCAGGAGCUCCACUGGGACUUUGCACUCCUUUCACAUAAGCCAAAGAACCUGCAAGAUGUUGAUUGUUGUUAUUACUGAUUAAAGACAGAGCUGGAUUGGGAAUUUAGCAGGAAACUGUGAUGGAGCCACUUCAUUUUUGGGGAGUGGGGUGAGGAGAGCAGCAGUGCAAGGGCACAGUAUUUCUUUUUUCCUUCUUUGUAAGUGUACUUCUGCCAAACUGAUUUUCAGUUCACAAAAUCUACUGUAGAUUUUUCUUUGUUCACGUUUCUGGGUCUUGUACUUAAAAAUGAGUUUGAUUUUGAGGUUUCCCAAACCAAAGCACUAUAGAUUAUAGAUACGUCGCUGGUUUUAUUUUCUUGUGCUUUAAAAACUGGAUGAAGGAAUGACUAGAUAAAUUAUGGCAUGGCAUGGAAUAAAGAGUUCUCUUGAAGCGGUUUUGCAAUAUCCUGUGUACUUAGAUACACAAAAAAGGAAACAAAAAGUAUAUACAAAAUGCUUUAACUGUUACUCACCAUUAAGGUGGUGGUGUUAGUGCAUGUAUGAUUACAUUUUUUAAAGACCUAUAUUUCUCUUUAGUUGUCAUACUACAGAAUUCUGAAUGUUCAUUUUAGUUACUGAAACAUGCGUUAGUCUUGGCUCUAACCAAAGGUGGACAACAUUUGUCAAAAGCAGAGGUAAAAUGUAGCAUAAAAAGAGAGGUGUUAGCCUCAGAUAACUUCUGGCUGCUCAAAGUGGUGAUUUUCUCACUGAGUUGUUUCAAGUGCAGUGAUUCAUGAAACUACUUGGGCUAUGUUUUCUGAUCUUCUUGCAAGAUGCUAUGGAAUGUACCUGCAGAUAUGCUUUAAAAUAGUCUAAACUCAAUCAAUAUUGAAAGGUUGGCGUUGAGUGGGAGAUUAUUUCUUUGUCUACUCAGUGUGUUUCUAUCUCCGUGUACACACAGUCGUGUGUAGAACGCCUUCCAUUGCUAUCCUUGCUCAAAUAAAGCACUGUUUGCUUACAAGAAGAUUUAAUGAAAUCUCCAAAGACCAGGGUCAUACAGUUUAGCAUCAGUGGAAAGUGAAGUUCUUUCCUGCAGUAGUUUUCCUGGGCUGUUCAGUAUUUGAAAAUAGGCAAGACAGCUGUGUGGUGCUAGGAUUGAUCUAAAAAGCACUCAUGAAUAGUUAAAGGCAUAUGCAUGUGCUUUGGUGUUGUACAUAACUGCGGAUGUGUAUAUCCACUGUCAGCCCUCUGAGACUUGGAUCUCAGACCAAGAAUUUCUGUACAUCUUGACCUUGCGCACGUCAUUGCUCUUUGCAUGAGUAACAGAGCAGAUAUGCAGACAAAUGAUGAUGAGUUGAAUGUGACUGUUUAACAAGUAUAAUUGAAACAUCCUCUUAUCUUGAACCUCUUAAUGUAAUUCACUAAUAACAAUUCAGUACCACAGUGACACUGUCAAGAGGGAGUUGACAUCACAUGAAACCUUUUUUAUUUAAAAAUAUAUAUAUAUUUAAGAAGGUGCAGUGAGACAUAAGGAGGUUAUGCAUGUUUUCAUGUGAUCUGUGGGUAAUUAUUAUUAAAGUUGGACUCCAGAGCUUCAAACCCCAAAGCCGUUAUCCCAUUAUUAUUAGAACAUUCUUAAUGCACAAACUUAUUCGAUUCUGCUGUGAACACCGUUGUUUGUUCACGUGUUGUGUGAUGUGGAAAUCCACUUACAUGAAGCUUUGGUGCAUUAAAGAUUGUGGAGAGAAAAAGGUGAAAUUCUGGAUCGUAGUUGCACAUUGCUUUCAACCUGAGUUCUGACUUAACACAUCUGCUAAAUGGAAGGGCUACUUGAAAUGUCUGUGCUGCUAUUUAUAGAAAGACAGUGGUGUAAAUGGCUGCAUAUUGAGGAACCCCUUCUAAAGGAAGGUGCUCAGAGACAGCAAAAUGUUUUUUUUUUUUUCUUUUUUAAAAAUAUGUUCUACUACUAUCCAAAACUACUAGUUAGCAACCCUGCCUCCAGCAGCAGAAGGAAUGAGAUGAUCUUCAAGAUCCCUUCCAACCCAAGCCAUUCUGUGAUUCUGUGACGCUGUGAUUCUGUGAUAUGAAACUGAAAGGUCUGUGGUUAGAUGUGCAGUUAGGUUUACACUGUCUACAUUUCAGUAGUUUCAGAUUUGAUAACAGAUCUUAAAACUCCUCUCAUGGCUAUUUGGAACUGGAAAAAAAUCUCCCAAUGAAAAAGCUGACAGGAUUCAGUGUACAAAUACUAUUAAAAGAAGCAUUGGGCUGAAAAAGAAAACCAAGACUCUGCUUCAGAAAACAGAAAACUGAUAUUAUUGUAAUGCCGAAGUCUUGGGAAUGUAACCCAAAGUCAGGAUGUGAUAUUAUCUGUGUGCGGCUGUUUGGAGCACCCAGGUCUUGCAAACACUUCAAUCGAGUUUGUUAAAUAUGAUUUAGUCUCUGAACGUCGCAAGCACAGGGAGAGGAAGCAGAGGGGAGUGACUGUAACAGGCAUUAUAAUUUGCACCUUUUGUUGCUCAAAGCUGAAUCAAGAGACCUUACCAAUCACCAAGUGCUGGGGGUGUUAGAGAGAAAAUAUUCAUGCAACUGUAAGUGUAAUGAAAUUUGAUUGCUAUCGCAGUAAAAUUCUGAAUUACUCUUAUUGCUGAAGUUCCAGGGAAGGAUGGAAGUUGUGUUUGAAAGCAGACCUUUAUAUCUAGUGCCUUUUCCUUUGUAUUUGCUCAUCCAAGUAAUACUACGCAAAAAUGAUGUCACUAAGGCACAAUAUCUUGCAUGCUGGUCUGCAGUCACCCGCUGAAUUUAGGUGAUACCUCGUUUCUCUCUCUGUGAUGUAAUCUCUCUCAUAGCUACAUGAAGGGUGAAUCUUAGUAUUGAAAGCAGUCAAGUUUGGUGUAUCUUGAAUGAUGAAUAAUAUUUCAGAAGCAUUUCUCUUCUCAGAAGGAAAGAGAACUGGAUGCUUCAGAGCAGGGUUUUGUAUUCAGAUUCUGUAGUUCAAACAAUGUCUAAUUGUACCACCACUGUUCUGAUGGCAUAAAUCUCUAGGAGAGGAAUACCAGAAACCAACAUAAAACUGGUGCUCACUUGAAGCUUAGAUGUGUGUACCUAAUUCCUUUUUUUAAAAUUAUUAUUAUUAGAUAAUUACACAAAAUCCAUUGUUUAGCUCUUAAUUUGGAUUCCAUAUCGAGAGAUGAAUCUGAUUGGACACAACUGAUAGCCCCUGGUUGCACACAAAGAGUAUAGUUUUCCAGUGCUAGUAAGAGAUUUGGGACUUUAAAGAAGUUGAGACUCGAUUCACCUCUUGUAGGGAUCAUUCCCCCACUUUACCAGUGGCUUGAAAUAUCUGUUUGUAUGUGCCUGGACAUUCCUGAUCUUUUAAAAAUCUUUAUUUCCUGAGAACUCAGUAGUAAAAUCAGCUUUUAAAAUGAAACUUUGAACUUGCUGGCAGAUUACAGAGUAAUGUUAUGUGCUUGUCUACAGAUAAGAUGCUUGAGUGCUGUUGGCCCCAGUAUUUGUUAUAUCCAUAGGUUCUAUAUAAAUUUAUUUAGAUUUAAACUAUCCAUCUUUUUCACAGGAAGAAGAGAAAUUUCUUUACCAUAUAGGACUGGGAACUGGAUAUGUGGUUGUACAAUCCUAGCAUUGAUAACUCCUCAUUUCCAAGCGGCUUUGAAUUUCUGAAAGUCCCAGAAUUGCUGCAUUACUUAGUGCAGGCUCCUCAGAGUCUUCAGAAGCAGCACGUUGUAGGUACAAGCCCUCAGACUGGCAAUGGCAGCCUGAUGGAAUCACAUUCAGUCUCUGUGUGUUCAAAAUUCCUUCUUGGUUACAGGUGUCCACAAAGCUACCUCAGUGAGAGGUUUGAUAUGAAUAGUUCGCUGAGUUUCUUUGAAACUGUUCUCAAUACCAGAAACCUUAAAGAUGAGAACAAGUUUCUGGUAGCAAAUCAAGGGCUCAAAUUCUUUUUUACGAUAUUGGUAUCAAAUUUGCAGAAGACGAAAUGCAAUGAGUCACAUCAGGAGCAUUUCAAUAGUGGUUAUUUCAGACCUUUCAGGUGUAAAUUAGCUGUGGAAGUGGAGAAGCAGUUCAGCAGUGUUCUUCUGAAUUUGUCUUUUCGCACUGAUGUCCACUCCAGGGCUCUUUUCUCCCAGGAAUACUCAGGGAUUUCCUGGCUAUCGCUGAGGGGGAAUGAAGCACCAAGCUGUCUGCCGAGCCUCACCAAGCUUCCUGUGUAACUUCUGAUAGUACAGCUUUGCUCAGAUGGCAUCCAUGAGUGAGCAAAAGAAACACUUCUUAAGCUUGUUUAGUGUUAAGUUGGGACGUACUGCAAGUUCUUUGGAGCGAUCACUCCCUGUUUCUGGUUUAAUUUCCUCUCUAGGAAAGUCAUUGAAUUGAGACUUUACCCAGUUAACCUUCAUGAUAAACUGUUUUUUAAAAAAAACUUCACAGCUUUACAGCAUCCUACAGACCAUUUCUGUUAAAACCAACAGGGAGACAGGGAGAAGCUGAAGUCCUCAAGCUUUCUUGAAGCAUCAAACUGUCAGAGUGUGUUUUAAGGGGUUUUGCCUUCUGCUGCAUGUUAAAGCAGACUUGAGGCUUGUCUGUGUUUCAAGACUGGAUCAAAGAAGUUGGGAGCAGUAAUUGUUUUUUUGACCCUCCUUCCUGCUGAACCAAGCAGAAAUUCUGUAGCAAAGAGAAUCUGGCCCAUUAUUUUGAAUAGUAAUGUUAAUUGCACCUCAUCAUCCAUUACCUAAUCCAGGUCAUGCUUUAUUUUGCUCAGUUUAAAAUAUCACUCAGAUUUGGUUAACCCAGGAAUGCAGAGCAGUGCAUUAAAUACUUGGUUAAUUUGAAGAUCUUAAGAUUCAGCAAACCAACCUUUAAAUAUCCGUAACAGAGUGCUGGAGUAGCUGCAACAUUCUUUCAGCAUUGUAUAGAUUUUAUAGACAUGAUUGCUCAUACUAAUGUCUUUUUGGGAUAUUUCUUCCUAUUUGUUCCCAGAAGAAAUUCCAAGCUGAAAUAGGAGCGAGAGUGAUAUUUUGAAGUACUCGAAUCAGGAGAGAACAUUUUACAAAAUAAUAAUUAAAAAAUAAUAAAAUAUGUAUGUAUACAUAUAUUUGCAACUGCGUAUCCAAGAAAAAACCAUGCUUGCGUUUAAAUUACGGUGCAUAUCUUCCAGAGUUUUGAAAAGUUCUUUCCCUCCCCAGUUUAAAGCUCUUUUGGUAACUGGCAGCUCCUCCACGGCCUACAACAGGUCUCCUACUUUCUCCAUCAAACAAGAGGUGGCUGUACAAAGACUUCCUUCUCUAAUAGGUGUUUUUGGUGUUUUUUGAUGAGUCACUUGCAGCAUGUGACAAAUACAGGUAAAAGGAUUGCUUUCUCUCACUGGGGAGUCUCAAAGUUGAGAAAUCUAAUUGUGCUCCUCUGAGCUGCGUGAGGUAAAAUGAUGUUUCUAUGCUCCUCUUGGGCCUUCAGUAUCUUCUUCUCAUACUUCCUGUCUGGACUCGCUUUGGAAGUCUCAGAACCCACAGGAGACAGUGGCUAACUGAACAAAACAGAACCCUUUUAGCAAACUUGUAUGCAGUUAUGGUUCUCAUUGGUAGUCUGCUUCUGGUAAUUAACUAUGAUUCUAUGAUUUUACACUGGCAGUUAUUUUCUUGGUCUUAGUAUGAUAUUAAAGCUCUCCUAUACUUCAGCAUACACCCUUAAAUGCAAGCUGGGCUAUAAGGUUAGAUGACCAUUCUUACAGUGAUCUGCCUGAAUUCCUACUGUGUAUCCAUCAUCCAUGGCAUCUGAUUGCCUUUCUGGGUGUCUCUGUCUAUCAGAGAAAUGAUAGUGUUAUGAAAUUGAUUGCAAAAUUUGUCUUGUUUUUCCAUUUUCAGAAGUGCUGCCUGUUAGAUGGGACCCACCUGGUCUUGACGGGCUUUGCAGAACUUGCUUGGCAGCCCACCAUCACCUGGCAUUUUGCCAGCCCUGAAGGACCUAAUAGCUUCACCGGUUUCCAUCUUGUAAUGGGCUUUGCACUUCAUUAGUGAUAUCUGCUUUGUCAGGUCCAUUCUAGCAAAUACGCUAUCAGAUUAGAGUUAUUAUCAUAAUCAGAGGUGUGUAAUUUAGGGGGGCAAAAAAACCCCCUGUAAAUUGCUGACUGUGUGAAGAGUUUCAGCAAAUAAUUUCUCCUCUGCAAGUGGUCUCUGUAAUACUUCUAGCAUGGUUUGUACUGAGGUGACAAUAAUUUUCUUGCUUGCUCCUCACAUUAACUCUGCUUAGUAUGCAUUACAACUUUUUGAUAAUGAGUUAAUGCACGUCCUUGCAGAGUGCUGCAGUAGCAUGCUUGCAGCUCUUUUUUUUUUUUUUUCUUUUACAUGGAAUGCUCUGUGGCUGUCUGAAGCUCCUGAAUUUUAUCUUCUAAGUAGCUUCCAAGCUGUCUCUUAGAGAUGAAUAUUGUAUCCUGUUUAUGAAGAUAUAAACUGUUGAAGCUUUUUUCCGUGGAACUUAAAGGCUAGCAAAAAAAAGGCUAACAAACAAACUGGAAAUUUGUAAUAUCAUGGACCUGUGGAUCUUGAGGUAACAUAAAAUAACCAAUCCAAAUCAGUCAAUUUCAGCACAUCAGCUCAUCUUUCGCCUUUCUCCUUCCCUCUGGUACUUCAUUUCUCUCUCCACUUAUGUGCUGGGAAGUGCUGUGGCACGUUUGGAGGUGCUGCUGCAGUGUUUCAGCCCCAAGGCACGUGUAGGGGUACAAGCACAUGGGCCAACACACACAGGGCCAGUUUUGGGCCCCUCACUGUAAGAAAGACACUGAGGCCCUGGAGCAUGUUCAGAGAAGGGCAACAAAGCUGGUGAGGGGUCUGGAGCACAGGCCUUAUGAGGAGUGGCUGAAGGAGCUGGGAUUGUUCAGUCUAGAGAAGAAAAGGCUCAAGGGAGACCUUAUUGCUCUCUAUAACUACCUGAAGGGAGGUUGUAGUGAGCUGGGGGUUGGCCUCUUCUCUCAUGUAACAGUGAUAGGACUAGUGGGAAUGGCUUCAAGCUGUGCCAGGGAAGGUUCAGGCUGGAUGUUAGGAAAUGCUACUUCUCUGAAAGGGUGGUCAGGCACUGGAAUGGGCUGCCUACAGAGCUGGUGGAGUUGUUGACCCUGGAGGUGUCCAAAAAUGUUUGGAUGUUGUGUUGAGGGACAUGGUUUAGUGAGAACUAUUGGUGAUGGGUGGAUGGUUGGACUGGGUGAUCCUGUGGGUCUUUUCCAACCUUGGUGAUUCUAUGAUUCUAUGAGAUGGUCCUGUGCUGAAGAGUUGAGGCUGGAACAGGCCAAGCAUGGGGAAAAGAGGAUGGUUGUGUUCAUUGAGUGUGGCUUCUCUUCUCUGGGUGGGGCAGGAAGGUAACCCAGUCCUACAUCCACAAAUCUUGGCCUCUGCAGUCCCCUUCUCACAAAGGAACUAAGACUUGAAGUAUGUAACAAGUAAAUAUGUGAAAUUUAAGGGAAGUUGGGUAUAAACUUCAUCCCUGUGACAGAAAUUGCAGAAGGCAUGAAUACUCAUCUCUCAAUGUUGCUUGGGAGUAAAAUCCUGACUGUGCACCUACUUUACAGUGGCAGCAACCUUCCAGGAGGAGAUGCCUUUCAUUCUUUGUAGACUCCAGGCAGAAUAUCAGCGUGAAAUAAAACAAGCUACCUUCAAGGCAACCAGCUGGUAAUGAUCAAAUCUGCCUGGCCAUCAGUAUUUAGAUAGAAGUCACCAACAAAUGGAAAACAUUGAAAUUACUCCUAAAAUUCAGGCAGCCUAAAGACAGGCACUGUGUGGUAUGGUGCUUACAGGAGGCCCAGCAGGAAGCUUGAAGGCUUCGGAGUUGAGAUCACAAGCUGAGGUAAAUGAUAUUUGCUGCUGCGUUAAAAACUAUCAAGUUGCUUUGUGAAGUGAAUUUUUUCUGUGCUCAUGUGCCAGGAAGCAUGAGGAGAGCUGACACUCACUCUGUAUUUUUUUUAAAUGCAGGGAAAUGCACAACCAUAUAAUAGUUACAAAACUUCCUUCAAAUGUUGGUGCCAUCCAUGAAAAUGUAUAUUUAGAAGGCAGCAUGCUGUCACUUGCUCAGAAAUAUGACAUGCUUUUUUGCCAUGUUCUUGAUAGUUCUUAUGUGUGGAAAUAGGUAGCUGGUAAAGUAAAAGAAAUGAGGUAUUGAGGUCUCUUUUGGACUAAUUUACCACUGAUAUGAUAUGGGUGUAACAGUGCAAAUCAACAAAGAUGUUAGUGUGAGACACAUGAGUCAGGCCUGGCUUUUAAAUGUGGUUAUUAAUUUUGCAUGUCUUCAAUCCUGAAUGCCUGAGCAGUUGAUGGAAAGUUGUCCUAGUAUUUGCACUUAAUAGGGUUGGUGCACAUGUGAACGUGUAGGUAAAGAUGAAGGAAAUUUUAUCUCUGACUGUUCCAUCAGUUAAGGCCGUAUUCAGGAGUGAUUUGUCCAGUUCUGGACUUCCCAGUACAAAUGAGUCAUGGACACGCUGGAGAGAGUCUUGUGAAGGACCAUGAUAAAGAGGAUGAAGCACCUCCGCUGUGAGAACAGACUGAGAGCUGAGGCUUCUCAGGCUGGAGAAGAGAAGGCUCAGGGGGGAAUCUUACCAAUGUCUAUAAAUACUUGAAGUGAGGGUGCAGUGAGAACAGAGCCAGGCUCUUUCUAGAGGUGCCCAGUGCCAGCACAAGAGGCCAUGGGCACAGACUGGAGCACAGGAGGCUCCCUCUGAACACCAGGAGCACUGCUGUGCUGUGCAGGUGACGGAGCACUGGCACAGGCUGCCCAGGGGCUGUGGGGUCUCCUCCUUGGAGGUGUCCAGAAGCUGCCUGGCCGUGGGCCUGGGCACCCUGCUCUGGGUGGCCCUGCUGCAGCGGGGCUGGGACUGGGGGACCCGGAGGGCCCUGUCUGCCUCAGCCAUGCUGGGAUUCUGUCAUUCCAUGGGUAUGGCAACACAGCAAAUAUCAAGAACCUGUUCCUCAGUCUGAGCCAUGAUUCUUAUAUAUAUCCCCAUGACCAUUACAUCAAGAAGCAAGUACUGAAUACAUACCCACUGCCUGUAAUGCAACGUCCUAAUGUUCAUAAGCUUCCAUUAAGGUCACUUGUUUUUGGAUCUUUGGAGACGUAUUGCUAGAUGUUAUUCUCUCCUUUGAGACAAUAGUGCUGAAAUUUGAACCGAUUGAAAUUUCAACAAAUGGUAUCCUUUGAAUGCUCUCCAUGGCUUUAUGUAUGAUUUGACUAGACAUGUUAUUUAGCUUGCUUAACCUGGGCAUGUAAAUGAGUUGCUUUUCUAACUGGAUAGCUUUAAUUUGUACUUUUCUGUUUGUUAAAGUUAUACUUUAUGUUAGCAGUUACUUCGUUUUUGUGUGCAUUUAUUAAAUACACAGUGUGUUCCCGUAUCAGGUCCUUUGAGAAAGUAUCAUCUGAAUGAGCUCCACAUAAUUGUCUUAAUUCCAAUCGUUCUUUUCUGUGAGGAAGACAUUUUUUUUUCUUCCUGUCUGUAGUGUUCCCAGCAGUGCAGUAGCCAGGAUUUGAUUUCUGUCAGAAAUGAUACUGCUUCAGUCUCGUCUCUGUACGUCUCCUCAGGGAGGUUGGAGGGUGGUUAUCCUCUGGCUGGUCUGGACCCGGUCCAGCAUUCGAUGAGAAUGCAAAUCCCCUUGAAAGCAGACACCUUCUCUGCAGCAAUACUGCCUUUAUCCUGCGUAUGCUUCAGGAAGCUUAUGAUAAGUUUAUAUUUGCAUGGAAAUACUGUUCUUUUUUAAAGGUACCCAAUCUUCUGCUCUUCUAAAGCUUAACAGAUGUUCCUAAUUCUUUCUUUUUCUUUUCUAACAAGAAAAAUGAAUAAAUAUAACCUGACUCAGGGCCACGCCACAGCAGUGUAGCAGAUUAUUGUUAGUGCUUGCUUGAAACAGAAGUUGGAUUGUCGAGAUGUUUGCUGUAGUUCACAUUAAUUUGGGGGAUUUUUGGAUUCCACACCUUCUUUGGCGUGGCAUAGGAGUGUGACCUGAGGCACGUUGGGCUUCCUCACACAUGCUGGGGGCACAGGGGAAGCAAACAUCGUGUGCUUUUUGGCAGUGGGGAUGGGUUCCCUUUUUUGAAAUGUCAGGCCCGAUUCCCGUUCGUAUUGGAAAGACUUUCUGCCCUUUCACAGCAAAGCAAGUUGACCUUAAAGUGAUCUUAAAUCAGUUAUUUUCUCCUGAUUCAAGUUUUCUUAUUCCAAAAUAACCAUGAGCUGUAGGCCCGCAAGGAGAUCGUUGGCUGUGCGGUCAAAGGACGCAGCUAUUCCGGUACACUGCGGCUAACGCCGAUUGCUGACAUAAUAAGGCGGCUAUAAAAAUCAGCUGAAUCAAACUUCCCUGCACACGAACCCAUCUGUUGAUUGCACUGUUGUCACUCCCUUAACAACUGUCACCAAGUUUUGUUUCCCCGUCCUACAACUCUCUUCUAUUCAAGGCUGUCUGUAAUGUUUCCAGAAAAAGAAACCUCAAUGAAAGGCGGCUAGGGCUGGAUGCUGGGGCUUCCCAGAGCCCCUCGUGCCUUUGCCCCUGCUCCCCAGCAGGUGUCACUGACAGGGAAGGGAAGAAGAAGUGGUCCUGCACCCCUGCUGCCCACUGCCCCCACUCCUGGGCACCGGCAGAAGGCCUAAACCCUGCCAAGGAUGGGGUCACUGAGAAGGUCCCAAUGUCAUUGAGCGUUUUCAUUGGGUAGAAGACCAACAUCUUGUGAUCUAGAUAGGUGAGGCAAAAGAGGAAAGUACAGACAUCAUAUAUGCAAAACGUCAGUGGUAUCUGACAGCUUGGUAUAGUUUGCUUGCUUUCUUCCUUUCUCAGUGUGUUUCAUUGUUUCAGUCUCUGGCCAGCCAGGCCUGGCCCUGCGUCACCUCACUGCCUGCGGUGCACUGCCGUACUAUCACAGAACUGGCUCUGCUCAUGCACAUGUCCUCCAGGAGCUGCUUUCCCCUUCUGCAGCUCAUCAUGGAGCCCCAGGUGCUGCUCCUUGGCUAACAACCACCUCAGCUGCUCCUGCCGUGACAUGUGCUGGGGCUGAGCUACUGGAUGAACACUGAAUUCCUUGUCAUUUAUCACAAUGGCUAUUUUCUUCCUGAUAAACCCUUUCCAGCUAAUAGUAGUUGUAGAACAUUCAGAGUAGAUUUUUAACCUCAUUCAGACAUGUAUCUGUUAUGAAAAUGGGCUGCCUUUUAAAUCGUGACACCUAAUACAUUUACAUUAACCAGAUUUUUAGGUGUUUUCUUUUAACUUUGAGUAGAGUACCUUGUAGUUUACAGUUAUGAGCAGUUCGUUGCUCAGUCUGUUGUUUGGCUUUAGAAGACUGUGACUUGUGUAACUGUGCCGAAGAUGGCAUCUCAGUGACUAUCAGCUCAGCUCUGAAGUCCUCUGUGGCUCACUUUUCAGAAAUGAUGAGGAUCCACUGUUUCCUCAGUAGUCAACGGGAAACAGAAUGAUCAGCAUGUCUGAAAAGCAGCCCUGUACUAUAGAAGAGUUGUCCUUUUUUUUUUUCUUUUCACUUGAUGUGAACAUAUGUGAACAUGAGACUGAUAGGGUACGUGGCUCUGAGCAUGCCUCGAGCUAGCUGAGGGGCUCAAAAGGAUGGAGGCACAGUAGAAGUUAGUAGUACGGAGCCAGGGGCAUCCCUGCAAGAAUUUCUCUGGUGGUUAUUGUGAAGGGGCACUUUUUUGACUUCCAGUAGAGAUUUAGAUGUUGACUUUUAAUUGCUAGUAAAAACUUGAACAAAAUUUUCAGUGUAUUGUUGUUUUGUUGGUUUUUUUUUAAUAUAUUUUUUUAAGGACAAGAGGAGGAUUUCAGAAACUCUUCUGAUUGUGUAUGUUGAGGUAAUCAUCAGAGAGGUUAUGAAGGUGAGAUGUUUGAACAAGGCAGGUCUUUAGAUAUGUCAUUACAUAUUCAUAUUGCAGUAUGAAAUUACUAUGCAUGAUUAAAAACAAAAAAUAAUAAUGGGGUGUCACUGUAGGUAGCUAAGAAGAUAUUACAACCUUCUGCAUGGAUUGGGAGAAAGGACAGAAAAGGAAGUGUGGUGGUGUGCUCUGCUGUGGUGUGGCCUCACUGUGAGUAAUGCGUCCAGGUUUGGACAUAAAACUAUUAGAGACCUUCCAAAGGGGAACUAAAAAGGUGGUGUAGGGUGUGGAGGCCAGAUUGUAUGAGGAGCAGCUGAGGUCCCUGGGUUCGCUUAGCGCAGAGCAGAAGAGCUGAGGGGAGGCCUGAUGGCCGCUGCAGCUCCUCACAGGAAGCCGUGGGGCAGCGCUGAGCUCUGCUCUGUGUGACAGCGACAGGGCCCGAGGGAACGGCAUGGAGCUGUGUCAGGGGAGGGGCAGCUGGGGGUCAGGGACAGGUGCUGCACCAGAGGGUGGUGGGCAUGGCCCCAAGUGCCAGAGUUCAAGGAGCGUUUGGACAAUGCUCUCAGACACAGGGUUUGAAUUUUGGAUGGUCUGUAUGGGGCUGGAAGUUGGACCCGAUGAUCCCUGUGGGUCACCUCCAGGUCAGGGUAUUCUGUGAUGCUGAGGCCAGCCAGCAGAUCGCACAUGGCACCAGUUCCUGGCCACUUCCGCUUCCCUUUUCUUUCCUAGCAACGUGAAGUAGAUCAUUUUAAAUCAAGAGGUUUCUGUUAGCUCCCAGUUCCCCACAUGAUUAAAUACAAAAAACAAGCAAAAAAAAAAGCACCAAAGAAGCGCUUCAAGGUUCAUGUGAAAAAGGCAGAGCAGUUCCCCUCUGUGUGUGCCUGAGCAUGCCAUGUGGUGGCUGUGGUGAGGCGAGGCAGGAGGGGCUGCAGCCCCACGUCCCCUCUGUGCCAGCAGGCUGGGAAGGCUCUGGGAAAGCGGCUUCACGCGGAGGUCGGGUCAGCCACCAUGUGUACGCUGUCAUGAAGUUUUAACUCGUUCAUGUGAGGAAGGAAACAGCGCUACAGGGGGAGAUGACCUUUUCAGAGGAUGACCUUAAAGGACAAGGAGGUGGGAAAGCCAGAGAUAAAGACAGCCUUGUAUGUCCUCGAGGCUGCCAGGCCUAAAAUUAGCCCCUGGCCAGGCUUUGUUUCACGUGCUCCCAGCUGGCCUCCUUGGAGGGCAUGGUGAGCACUGAGGCCUGGGAGUGGGCUUUUCAUGACCACCUAUGUGUUGC